rnacentral:tRNA from 2 species
GCUGAUUUGGCCGAGUGGUCUAAGGCGGCGGUUUUAAGCACCGCUUCGGAAACGAGCCAGGGUUCGAACCCCUGAGUCAGCA